rnacentral:rRNA from 1 species
CCUACGGGUUGCACCAGUGGGGAACAUUGGACAGUGGGCGCAAGCCUGAUCCAGCCAUGCCGCGUGAGUGAUGACGGUCUUAGGAUUGUAAAGCUCUUUCACCGGUGAAGAUAAUGACGGUAACCGGAGAAGAAGCCCCGGCUAACUUCGUGCCAGCAGCCGCGGUAAUACGAAGGGGGCUAGCGUUGUUCGGAUUUACUGGGCGUAAAGCGCACGUAGGCGGACUUUUAAGUCAGGGGUGAAAUCCCAGAGCUAAACUCCGGAACUGCCUUUGAUACUGGAAGUCUUGAGUAUGGUAGAGGUGAGUGGAAUUCCGAGUGUAGAGGUGAAAUUCGUAGAUAUUCGGAGGAACACCAGUGGCGAAGGCGGCUCACUGGACCAUUACUGACGCUGAGGUGCGAAAGCGUGGGGAGCAAACAGGAUUAGAUACCCCGGUAGU